rnacentral:tRNA from 1 species
UAGCCUAGUGGUGAGGGCAAUGGAUCGCCAAUCCGGAGACGGCGGGUUCGAUUCCCGU